rnacentral:lncRNA from 1 species
GGUGUAACAGCCAUGCAAGAGAGGAUGUCUUGGCAGCCUGUCAAACAACUUUGAAAAAUUUGCAAAUUAAAUAUUUGGAUUUAUAUUUGGUAAUUCAUUUGACUAUUUGUCAGUUCUAAACUGUUCUUCCUAGACGUCCAGUAAGGACCAUCUCUAGAGAUCCAGAUAAGAGAUUCAGUAAGGAUCAUCUCUUAUUGAUCCAGUGUUACUACAGGAGGAAACCUAAACUAAACUGACUUUAUUUAUACUGGAUAGCUCUAUCAGUUCUAAACUGUUAUUCCUAGAGGUCCAGUAAGGAUCAUCUCUUAUUGAUUUAGUGUUACUACAGGAGGAAAUCUAAACUAAACUAACUUUAUUUAUACUGGAUAGAUCAAUUAGUUUUUAACUGUUCUUCCUAGAGGUCCAGUAAGAAUCCUCUCUUAUUUAUCUAUAGUAUUACUACAGGAGGAAACCUAAACUAAACUAACUUUAUUUAUACUGGAUAGCUCUAUCAGUUCUAAACUGUUCUUCCCAGAGGUCCAGUGAGGAUCAUCUCUUAUUGACCCAGUGUUACUACAGGAGGAAACCUAAACUAAACUAACUUUAUUUGUACUGGAUAGCUCUAUCAGUUCUAAACUGUUCUUCCUAGAGGUCCAGUAAGGAUCGUCUCUUAAUGAUCCAGUGUUACUACAGGAGGAAACCUAAACUAACUUUAUUUAUACUGGAUAGCUCUAUCAGUUCUAAACUGUUCUUCCUAGAGGUCCAGUAACGAUCAUCUCUAAUAUUAAGAGCCAAAAUCCUGAAAAACAUUGUAUAUCUAUCACCAUACAAGAUGCAAUCAAAGAAUGUUUCUAAACAAUUAUGUAUAUCUUUCUUAGAUACAUAAUCCAUAUGCAUUUGCAAAGGGUAUGUUUUUCCCAACGAAACCAGAACAACGUAAAGAUAUUCUUGGCUAUGAUAAGAAGAGAAUGAGCGAAACGUGGAAGGUAGCGUUAAAAUUG